rnacentral:rRNA from 1 species
GACGAACGCUGGCGGCGUGCUUAACACAUGCAAGUCGAACGGAAAGGCCCUGCUUUUGUGGGGUGCUCGAGUGGCGAACGGGUGAGUAACACGUGAGUAACCUGCCCUUGACUUUGGGAUAACUUCAGGAAACUGGGGCUAAUACCGGAUAGGAGCUCCUGCUGCAUGGUGGGGGUUGGAAAGUUUCGGCGGUUGGGGAUGGACUCGCGGCUUAUCAGCUUGUUGGUGGGGUAGUGGCUUACCAAGGCUUUGACGGGUAGCCGGCCUGAGAGGGUGACCGGCCACAUUGGGACUGAGAUACGGAGCAGACGCCUACGGGAGGCAGCAGUGGGGAAUAUUGCACAAUGGGCGGAAGCCUGAUGCAGCAACGCCGCGUGCGGGAUGACGGCCUUCGGGUUGUAAACCGCUGUCGACUGUGACGAAGCGUGAGUGACGGUAAUGGGUAAAGAAGCACCGGCUAACUACGUG